rnacentral:sRNA from 1 species
GCAUCCGCACGCACUAAAUUAGAAAGUAGAAAGUGUAACACGUGCCACUUCUUUUCCUACUCAUGUUGAAAAGCAAGUGGCAUUUUGCUCCUUUGCUCCAUUAGAAGCCUUGUGCUCCCUGAUCUUACUGGGUUUCCCGGAUUUCCUGACAUCACAAAUUUAUUGUUCUCCAUGGAUUCCUCUGACCUGGAUAUUAGGAGUAAGCCCUCGCUAGCUAUGGAACACCUUCCAGAAUAUUAACCUACUCAUGGAAAUUGAAAACCUGAGCUCUGUGAUGUCAGGACAGGAAAUCAAACAAGGUAGGAAACUGGAG